CUGCAAUGUGCUGCCUUUGAAAAAGGGAUCGGAAAAUUCAGUGGGUCCAAAGAACAGGCCUGAGUCUUCAUUACGGAGAGAAAGGUCCAUCUUCUUGACGGCCACCAGCUUCCCGCUGCUCUUGACGGUGGCGAUGCAGACGAUGCCCGUGGAGCCCUCCCCGAUCUUGAUGAAAUUGUCCAGGUGGGGACGACAGUGAUCGAGGCGGAGGUGUUAGUAGCGAGUUGGACACACAAAGAAGUUGCGGCUAAGGAUGGAGCCAAAGUCUUCGAGGAGAAAGGAGGGCUGCGGAGGAGC